rnacentral:rRNA from 1 species
AUUGAACGCUGGCGGCAGGCCUAACACAUGCAAGUCGAACGAGUGGCGGACGGGUGAGUAAUGUUUGGGAAUCUAGCUUAUGGAGGGGGAUAACUACGGGAAACUGUAGCUAAUACCGCAUACCAUAGGAUGAGCCCAAGUGGGAUUAGGUAGUUGGUGAGGUAAAGGCUCACCAAGGCGACGAUCUCUAGCUGGUCUGAGAGGAUGACCAGCCACACUGGGACUGAGACACGGCCCAGACUCCUACGGGAGGCAGCAGUGGGGAAUAUUGCGCAAGGGGCGCAAGCCUGACGCAGCCAUGCCGCGUGAAUGAAGAAGGCCUUCGGGUUGUAAAGUACUUUCGGUAGCGAGGCGUUACCUACAGAAGAAGCACCGGCUAACUCCGUGCCAGCAGCCGCGGUAAUAC